GACGAACGCUGGCGGCGUGCUUAACACAUGCAAGUCGAACGGAAAGGCCCUGCUUUUGUGGGGUGCUCGAGUGGCGAACGGGUGAGUAACACGUGAGUAACCUGCCCUUGACUUUGGGAUAACUUCAGGAAACUGGGGCUAAUACCGGAUAGGAGCUCCUGCUGCAUGGUGGGGGUUGGAAAGUUUCGGCGGUUGGGGAUGGACUUGCGGCUUAUCAGCUUGUUGGUGGGGUAGUGGCUUACCAAGGCUUUGACGGGUAGCCGGCCUGAGAGGGUGACCGGCCACAUUGGGACUGAGAUACGGCCCAGACUCCUAUGGGAGGCAGCAGUGGGGAAUAUUGCACAAUGGGCGGAAGCCUGAUGCAGCAACGCCGCGUGCGGGAUGACGGCCUUCGGGUUGUAAACCGCUUUCGCCUGUGACGAAGCGUGAGUGACGGUAAUGGGUAAAGAAGCACCGGCUAACUACGUG
rnacentral:rRNA from 1 species